CAUCCACCUCUAAUUCGUCCAAGGAGGCAUAAUAGAAAAGGUACAAAUCUGUCAAGCACAGAUUAGGUCCACAACACUUUCGUCUCUGCUUCAUCUGUAUCAAUGCCGAAGAAGAGAGGGAGAGAGAGGCAUCACAACCCAUAGCCAUUUCUAGCCGACAAUGAUGGCGCCUUUGUGGCCUCCAAGAAGCGAACCAAGUCAUUGGGCUGAAAUUAUGCUUAGACGGAAGCAAAUUAUAAAUCAUGUUUCAGCUAUGCUCCAGCAAGAGUGCCAUGUUCUCUUCAGCACAGGCUCUGUCUCUGAUGCCCAGGAAGACCUAGAUGAUGGGAAAGGGAAAGGGAAAGGGAAUGAGAAUAACAUGCCAGGCCGCAAUUCCAGCUGAUAAUGUCCCUGACAUGGGUAAGAGGAACCUUAUGAAUCUGCUUCUUCUAACGAAUCUCACUUCCCUCUGGUUUCCUAUGCCACUUUCUUUGCUCCACCUGGGUGAGUUUGAAUCAUUGGUUCCUUUGUAUUCCCUCUAAUUUAUGUUUCAGUUAUGUGCUUUUCCAUUGAAAUCUAAGUGUAUGCUUGAUUAGUAUGUGCUUUUGUGGUUAACUGUGAUUGGAUUACAUGUUGAAUCCCCUAAUCAAAUGUUAGAAAGAUUCCAAUUUGAACAAGCUAGUGAUAAGUUAUCAGAUGAUAACCAAGGAUUAUUUUUAUGGUUCUAAUUUCUAGACAAUAUCAUGCUCAAACUGGUAUUUUGGCAUUGAAUAGAUUGUCAUUUUAUCAUUAGCUCUUUGACAUAUUUAUUUUACUCUUAAUUGGAGAACAAUUAUAGCUCUGGUGUUGGAACUGGUGGUCAAGUUACCAAGGAUGCUCUAGGAAAUGAUGUAAUUGCAGCAGAAUGGCUUAAGACCCAUGGCCCUGGUGAUAGGACUUUCACACAAGGAUUGAAGUUUUGGCCUUGGAGAGGAUUAUAAAUACUUUAGGAGACCAAUCAGGGAAUUUUUGACAGGCUCCAAAAAAGCUUUAGCCAAGUUGUUCUUCAGCCGUAAGGUUCCAAUUAAAAAAAAAAAAGGCAAAAUUCAUAGGUCCAAGAUUUACGGCAAGGAUUUACUACAGUUAAUCAGAGUCUUUAAUUUGUAGGAAGCUAGAGCAUUAUUAAGAAGAUGCGGAUAUCGUAAAGGAAACAUAGAAGUUGCUUUACAUGUAUUUGAAGGGGAAUAGAUAUUGACGCAAUGACUCCAAAAAGCAGACUCACCCUUGCUUGAGCAGGCAAACAUUGUAGGAGAGGUUCUUAAGGUUAUGGUACCCCACCUGUGUAUAUAUAUGCUAUAAGCUUACUUCUGGAAGCAUAUUUCUUAAAGGAAAAUCAUUGCAGAGUCUUG